CAAUAGCGUAUAUUAAAGUUGUUGCAGUUAAAAAGCUCGUAGUUGGACCUUGGACCUGGACAGGCGGUCCGCCUCACGGCGUGUACUGUCUUGCUGGGUCUUUCCUCUUGGUGAUCUGUUGUUUCGGCAGCAGGGAACCAGGACUUUUACUUUGAAAAAAUUAGAGUGUUCAAAGCAGGCUCGACGCCGGAAUAUAUUAGCAUGGAAUAAUAAAAUAGGACGUGCGGUUCUAUUUUGUUGGUUUUUGGAAUCGCCGUAAUGAUUAAUAGGGACAGUCGGGGGCAUUAGUACUCACAUGCUAGAGGUGAAGUUCUUGGAUUUUGUGAAGACUAACUUCUGCGAAAGCAUUUGCCAAGGAUGUUUUCAUUAA
rnacentral:rRNA from 1 species